rnacentral:rRNA from 1 species
GUGUCAGCAGCCGCGGUAAUACAGAGGUCCCAAGCGUUGUUCGGAUUCACUGGGCGUAAAGGGUGCGUAGGUGGUGGGGUAAGUCUGAUGUGAAAUCUCCGAGCUUAACUCGGAAAUGGCAUUGGAUACUACUCUGCUAGAGGAUUGGAGGGGAGACUGGAAUUCUUGGUGUAGCAGUGAAAUGCGUAGAUAUCAAGAGGAACACCAGUGGCGAAAGCGAGUCUCUGGACAAUUCCUGACACUGAGGCACGAAAGCUAGGGGAGCAAACAGGAUUAGAAACCCCUGUAGUCC